GACGUAGGGCGCGAGCGUUGUCCGGAUUUAUUGGGCGUAAAGAGCUCGUAGGCGGCUUGUUGCGUCGACCGUGAAAACCCGGGGCUCAACUUCGGGCUUGCGGUCGAUACGGGCGGGCUAGAGUUCGGUAGGGGAGACUGGAAUUCCUGGUGUAGCGGUGAAAUGCGCAGAUAUCAGGAGGAACACCAGUGGCGAAGGCGGCUUCCUGGACCGACACUGACGCUGAGGCGCGAAAGCUAGGGGAGCAAACGGG
rnacentral:rRNA from 1 species